ensembl:lncRNA
CUGGGACAAAAAAAGCGGAAGGAAUGAUUAUGAACUAGUCAGUUAUAAGAAACAUGAACAAUAGUGUACUACCAUGUUAUAACUUUGAAUUCCAGUGUACUACUCUCUCUUUCCCUGUCUCUUUUCCUCCUAUUUCUCCCUCUCUGUUUCUCCUUCUCACAUUGAAGGGGGUUACUUUUGUGUUUGUGGUCAGCGAUAGCGACUGUGCAUACAUCUACAUGUGGGACAAGGUCUCUGCUCUCAUCAUCCAGUCAGUUCAUGGAGGGAGACAGAGGAGGACUGGUGAGGGAGAGAGAGGGAUGGUGGGUGGUAAGAUGUAUGACAAUAAAAAAGGGCUUUGCUGAUUGAGAAAAUAGGAUGACCCCCUCAAACAAAACUCGACAGUAUCCGUUUCAGUUUCAUUCUCACUCACUAAUCUCAAUCUGCCACAGGUUCAUUUGCCGGAGCCCCACCCUCACCUCCCAAUGGUCGUCAUGAUCCCACCAGUGGUCUGGAUCAUGACGUUUAACUGUGGUCCCCCUCUGCCGAGAACCCCACAGGAUUCAAGAGCCUGAAAGAUGUAUGGUGAUGAAGAAGAACGUGUAAGCGUGACGAGGACAGCGUUUGCCUUUGAGGCCAGUACACACUCAGCUGCUGUGGUUCCUCAUGAGGCACAUGAGAAAAAGACGGCCCCUGAGGACACUGAUGAAUUGUGGAGCUCUCCAGAUUCCUCUGAUGAAGAGAACGGAGGGCCAGACCACGUUCAGUGCAUGUCCUCCUGAGCCAAAGUACACUGCCACCAGUACCUGUCAACUGCCAUUCAACCCCACCCAUGUAACAUACUUGAUUGGUUUGAUAAGUGGAAACUUGUAACUAGUUUCCAUAUAGCCAUACUCU